rnacentral:rRNA from 1 species
UACGGGGGGGGCAAGCGUUGUUCGGAAUUACUGGGCGUAAAGGGUUCGUAGGCGGCCAACUAAGUCGGACGUGAAAUCCCUCGGCUUAACCGGGGAACUGCGUCCGAUACUGGAUGGCUUGAGUUCGGGAGAGGGAUGCGGAAUUCCAGGUGUAGCGGUGAAAUGCGUAGAUAUCUGGAGGAACACCGGUGGCGAAGGCGGCAUCCUGGACCGACACUGACGCUGAGGAGCGAAAGCCAGGGGAGCAAACGGG